CUUCCCGCAUCCGGAAAUGUAAUCAUGUAUAUUUCCCGCACCGUUUUUUUUUUGUAAAUAUUAUAAAAAGAUAUCAACAUUGGUUUCUUUCCUCCAUACUUACAUUCCCUAUCAAAAAUGUUCGUUGUUAGAAUAAAGUACAAAGAACUUCUGAAGGAUUUGCCUUCAACUGCAAUUAUAUUGUAUGAUGUCAAAACAAAACUAUCUAUAGCCGCUGCAUGUUUAUGCACCUGUCCUGGUUGAUUCAGGGGCCUGUCGUUCAGCAGUUAUCGUUUGUUGAUGUUGUUCAUUGGUAUUUUCCCGUUUGGAUAUAUAAAUUAGAUCGUUGGUUUUCCUGUUCGAAUUGUGUACGAUAAUAAUUUUGGGAUCCUUUAUAUCUUGCUGUUUGGUCUGUAUCAAAGCCCUGUGUAAAAGGCCGUACUUUGACCUGUGUUUGUUAUUGUCAGGUUGAGAACAACCCUCCCUCAGACAAAGAGUCAUUUUACUGAUGACUGAUGUAGAAAAGAAAAUAGAAAUACCAAGGAUUUGCAUAGUUCUUCUAUACAAAACCUUUGAAAACUUAAAAUUUUGUACUCAAAAAGAGGAGAGGUACAUCAUAUUUUAAACAAC
rnacentral:lncRNA from 1 species